rnacentral:rRNA from 1 species
GAUGAGCCUGCGGCCCAUCAGCUAGUUGGUAGGGUAAUGGCCUACCAAGGCGAAGACGGGUAGCUGGUCUGAGAGGAUGAUCCGCCACACUGGGACUGAGACACGGCCCAGACUCCUACGGGAGGCAGCAGUGGUGAAUAUUGGACAAUGGGCGCAAGCCUGAUCCAGCCAUGCCGCGUGUGUGAAGAAGGCCUUAUGGUUGUAAAGCACUUUAAGCGAGGAGGAGGCUACUGAAGUUAACACCUUCAGAUAGUGGACGUUACUCGCAGAAUAAGCACCGGCUAACUCUGUGCCAGCAGCCGCGGUAAUACAGAGGGUGCAAGCGUUAAUCGGAUUUACUGGGCGUAAAGCGCGCGUAGGCGGCUAAUUAAGUCAAAUGUGAAAUCCCCGAGCUUAACUUGGGAAUUGCAUUCGAUACUGGUUAGCUAGAGUGUGGGAGAGGAUGGUAGAAUUCCAGGUGUAGCGGUGAAAUGCGUAGAGAUCUGGAGGAAUACCGAUGGCGAAGGCAGCCAUCUGGCCUAACACUGACGCUGAGGUGCGAAAGCAUGGGGAGCAAACAGGAUUAGAUACCCUGGUAGUCCAUGCCGUAAACGAUGUCUACUAGCCGUUGGGGCCUUUGAGGCUUUAGUGGCGCAGCUAACGCGAUAAGUAGACCGCCUGGGGAGUACGGUCGCAAGACUAAA